rnacentral:rRNA from 1 species
UGUGUAGGUGGUUAUUUAAGUCAGAUGUGAAAGCUUACGGCUUAACCGUAAAAGUGCAUUUGAAACUGGAUGACUUGAGUUUGGAGGAAGAGAGUGGAAUUCUCAGUGUAGCGGUGAAAUGCGUAGAUAUUGAGAAGAACACCGGUGGCGAAAGCGGCUCUCUAUUCUGAAACUGACACUGAGGCACGAAAGCGUGGGUAGCGAACAGGAUUAGAUACCCUGGUAGUCC